rnacentral:tRNA from 1 species
CCCUGGCUGACUCAGUGGUAGAGCAUGUGAUUCUUGAUCUUGGGGUUAUGAGUUCAAGUCCCAUGUUGGGUG